ensembl:rRNA 5S_rRNA 5S ribosomal RNA
UAUAGCAGCCAUAUCACCCUGUAGCCCAAGACUGGUUGCCCACUGAAGCUAAGCAGGGCUGAGCCUGGUCAGUACCUGGAUGGGAGACCUCCUGGGAAAACUAGGUUGCUGCUGGAA